UACGAAGGGGGCUAGCGUUGCUCGGAAUUACUGGGCGUAAAGGGAGCGUAGGCGGACAGUUUAGUCAGAGGUGAAAGCCCAGGGCUCAACCUUGGAAUUGCCUUUGAUACUGGCUGUCUUGAGUACGGGAGAGGUGUGUGGAACUCCGAGUGUAGAGGUGAAAUUCGUAGAUAUUCGGAAGAACACCAGUGGCGAAGGCGACACACUGGCCCGGUACUGACGCUGAGGUGCGAAAGCGUGGGGAGCAAACAGG
rnacentral:rRNA from 1 species